UGCGGUGUGAGCUUGGUGUUUUGUCUCA
rnacentral:piRNA from 1 species